rnacentral:rRNA from 1 species
GCCUACCAUGGUGGUAACGGGUAACGGGGAAUUAGGGUUCGAUUCCGGAGAGGGAGCCUGAGAAACGGCUACCACAUCCAAGGAAGGCAGCAGGCGCGCAAAUUACCCAAUCCCGACACGGGGAGGUAGUGACAAUAAAUAACAAUACGGGGCUCUUUCGGGUCUCGUAAUUGGAAUGAGUACAAUUUAAAUCCCUUAACGAGGAACAAUUGGAGGGCAAGUCUGGUGCCAGCAGCCGCGGUAAUUCCAGCUCCAAUAGCGUAUAUUAAAGUUGUUGCAGUUAAAAAGCUCGUAGUUGAAUUUCGGGAUUGACACAUCGGUCGUGCCUUAAGGGGUAUGAACUGGUGUAGUCAAUUUCUCACCUUCUGGAGAACCGCGAUGCCCUUAAUUGGGUGUCGCGGGGAACCAGGACCUUUACUUUGAAAAAAUUAGAGUGUUUAAAGCAGGCAUUUUGCUUGAAUACAUUAGCAUGGAAUAAUAAAAUAGGACGGCAUGAUUCUAUUUUGUUGGUUUCUAGGAUCACCGUAAUGAUUAAUAGGGAUAGUUGGGGGCAUUAGUAUUCAAUUGUCAGAGGUGAAAUUCUUGGAUUUAUUGAAGACUAACUACUGCGAAAGCAUUUGCCAAGGAUGUUUUCAUUAAUCUAAGAACGAAAGUUAGGGGAUCGAAGACGAUCAGAUACCGUCGUAGUCUUAACCAUAAACUAUGCCGACUAGGAAUCAGACGAUGUUAAUUUUUUAAUGACUCGUUUGGCACCUUACGGGAAA